rnacentral:rRNA from 1 species
UACGUAGGGCGCAAGCGUUGUCCGGAAUUAUUGGGCGUAAAGCGCGUGUAGGCGGUUGCCCAAGUCGGGUGUGAAAGCCUUGAGCUCAACUCAAGAAAUGCACUCGGUACUGGGUGACUAGAGGACCGGAGAGGAUAGUGGAAUUCCCAGUGUAGUGGUGAAAUACGUAGAGAUUGGGAAGAACACCAGUGGCGAAGGCGGCUAUCUGGACGGUUUCUGACGCUAAGACGCGAAAGCGUGGGGAGCAAACAGG